rnacentral:lncRNA from 1 species
UUUGUUAAAACAAAAAACACUUUAAACAAACAACAUCUAGACUUCAUGCUAAUAUUCAAGUCUAAUAACCUUCAAUUAAAUCAUAUCUGUUAUAACCAAGUUUAAACAUAACACUCAACCAUAUCAUAUACCUAAAACAGUACACCUCGUCAGAUUCAGUCUGUUGUUCAUCAGAUAUAUAUCAUUGCUUCCCGUUGUUGCUUUAAAUCAUGAAGUUCUUUUCGCAUAGAUUCCACUUAUUCUUAAUUCAAAAUAGAAGCACCAGAGAACAAUGCAUCUGGAUGGCCCCGAGGGCCGCCGUACUCUGUAGACUCUUUCUUUGCUCCACCUGCCGCCUCUAUCCAUAUUGAAAUCGAAUCAUCUGUUGAUGGUUGAGUUGAGGGAGGUCGGUUUGCUGCCAUUCUUUCAAAUUUUUAUCACCCUUCCUAAAAUAUAGAUGAUAACUAAUAUUUCCCGGUUUAAAAGAAGUGAUUUUUUAGUUGUUUUUACAAAUUAAAAAAUUUAUCUUUUAACAAUAAUUAGCAAUGAAAUUGACCAUUUAACAUUUACUAUCUCUUCACAUAAAUACUUCAAACACAUACUCCAAUACUAUUUACUCCAUGGAUAAUGUAAAAAUAAAUAAUUUAUUCUAGAAAAGUCACUUAUUUUGAACAUGGAGGAAAUAUAUUAUAAAUAAAAUAAUAAUAUUAAUACAACAAAAUAAUCUUAAAAUUAGAAAUUUACAUAUUUCUCUGGCGCACGUGCUUCUACCCAAUGUUCUCUUGUACAGUUAGGAGUUUUUUUCUUUAUGCGUCUCCACAAAAUCCACAGCAUGAGACACAUCUCGCCCUCUUUCCUUUUUA